CCCUGCUGCCCCGCCGCGUUCCCCCGGACAGAUCCGCCGCCCUCCAUUGCUGCCCACAGAUCCUGGUGAGGUCAACGGCAAGCACGGGAUGGGCGAAAAUCUGGAGUGACGGACUCGAAGAUGUGCAACCACUAUUCUUCUCCUUAUGAUGUGCAUAGGGGUGCAUAUGACAUGGUUGUGGAGAAAUAAGAGGCACUGGCCUGCAUGGGAGGCAAUGUUGGAAGCAAUUCAUCACACGGAACCGUUCCAUCGGAGGAGAAAUGGUAGGUUUUUCAUUAAGAGGACAAGUCACAAUGAUUACUAUUGUCUAUCUUAGUGGUGGGGAUGAAGAAUCAUAUGAUGCUGCCAGUAUCUCUCCAUGAGGCAAACUAAGCGACUAUGAGCACAUUCGACUCUUAGAGAUCUUAGUGGCGGCUAAUACCUUCGCCGGGGUACCAUUUCUGACAUGUUUGACAAAAUCAAGUUCUUUCAAGUUAAUUCUAUUCUUUACUCUAGGUUCUCUCCAUACAUUGCAAUUGUAUUGGUCUUCGUCUGUCUUCAUAAUUAUAUUUUGGUUUUUCAUCCACGACAUCCGAGAAAUUACAUAACAAGGUGGUUUCCAAGCUUCACAAUCCUGGUGAUGGCUUGGCUUGACUGUGUAAUGGAGAUUCCUCUUCUUUGUUAACACCAACGAUGAGCAUGCCCGGCUAAUGUUUAGCAAACCGACGUGGAGAGUGUUCCAUAUAGAAGAAGGCGAACUACAAGUUGAACAAGCUGUGCUCAUCACUGCUAGGCCAUCACACGCCCGAUCAUGAGCAUUCUUUUUGUCAUUGACAUUAUCUAGUGUAGUUGGGCAGUGUGCCCAAUUGUGGUGGGUUCAUUAUUUGUUUAUGAGCCAUGUAGUUGCCUAUAUUAUUG